UGCACAGCCUGCAGGGUGCAGCCCGUGCCUUGGGGGAGGAUGUUCUGCAGACCAGACCCCAGAAGCCUGAUGGUGCCCCUGGGAUGCCAGCAUCAUCAGUUCUGGCUGCUCCCCAGCACUGUCACAGCCCCAGAAGCAGAACGUUCCAUUCUCCUG